rnacentral:rRNA from 1 species
UACGGAGGGGGCUAGCGUUGUUCGGAAUCACUGGGCGUGAAGCGUACGUAGGCGGCCAUUCAAGUCAGAGGUGAAAGCCCAGGGCUCAACCCUGGAACUGCCUUUGAAACUAGAUGGCUGGAACACGGGAGAGGUGAGUGGAAUUCCGAGUGUAGAGGUGAAAUUCGUAGAUAUUCGGAAGAACACCAGUGGCGAAGGCGGCUCACUGGACCGUUGUUGACGCUGAGGUACGAAAGCGUGGGGAGCAAACAGG